ACAGAAAGACAGACAGACACACACACACAGACACACACACUCCACAUCAGCAGCAGAACCCUGGAGCUCAGAGUUGUCUCCUGCAGGGAGACCAAGAAAGGCCCACGACGUGAGGAUGAAGUCACUUGUGACCCCACAGGGCAGGGACUCCACUCACGAGACAUGGGAAAGGAAAAUGUUGCCUAGGACACUGAACGUGCUCUCCCCAUGAUCAAAAGGAACCCUGAAAACCUCCUCCCUCCAGACCUGCCAUGUCAUGGAC
rnacentral:lncRNA from 1 species